rnacentral:rRNA from 1 species
GGAUACCUNGGCANACAGAGGCUGAUGAAGGACGUGNUUANCUGCGAUAAGCUUCGGGUAGCUGCUACAAGCGUUUAACCGGAGAUUUCCGAAUGGGGCAACCUAUAUAGGGUCAUGCCUAUAUAUCCUUAUCUGAACACAUAGGAUAAGGAAAGGAACCUGGCGAACUGAAACAUCUAAGUAACCAGAGGAAAAUAAAUCAAUUGAGAUUCCCUUAGUAGCGGCGAGCGAAACGGGAACAGCCUAAACCUUAGCUUUGUUAGUAGCGUACAGGCGCUGAAGCUAGGGUGUUGUAGGAUUGCUUUUUAUUUAGCUGUAUCUAGAUAGGCAAGUUACAAAUAAACAGUAUAGUAGAAGAAAGCUGGAAAGCUUCGCCAAAGAGGGUGAUAGCCCCGUACACGAAAUAUUGUUUACUUGCUUAAGUAAUUCCUGAGUACCGUGGGACACGAGAAAUCCUGCGGGAAUCUGGGUGGACCAUCAUCCAAGGCUAAAUACCAUUGUAUGACCGAUAGUGAACCAGUACCGUGAGGGAAAGGUGAAAAGAACCCCGGAAGGGGAGUGAAAUAGAACAUGAAAUCAUAUGCCUACAAGCAGUCGGAGCUUCUUUAUGAAGUGACGGCGUGCCUAUUGAAGAAUGUGCCGGCGACUUAAUGUCAGUAGCAAGGUUAAGUUUUAUACGGAGCCGUAGCGAAAGCGAGUCUGAAUAGGGCGUCAAGUUACUGGUAUUAGACCCGAAACCCAGUGAUCUAUCCAUGGGCAGGGUGAAGCGGAAGUAACAUUUCGUGGAGGCCCGAACCAUUGUAAGUUGAAAAUUGCUUGGAUGACCUGUGGAUAGUGGUGAAAUGCUAAUCGAACUGGGAGAUAGCUGGCUCUCCUCGAAAUGACUUUAGGGUCAGCCUUGAGGUUUAGGCAUCUGGAGGUAGAGCACUGUUUAGGCUAGGGGCGUCACCAACGUUACCAACCCUAGGCAAACUCCGAAUGCCAGAUGUUCAUACUCAGGAGUGAGUCUUAGGGGGCUAAGCUCCUAAGACAAAAGGGAAACAGCCCAGACCGUCAGCUAAGGUCCCUAAAUAUAUGCUAAGUGGUAAAGGUAGUGGUAUUACUCAGACAGUCAGGAGGUUGGCUUAGAAGCAGCAAUCCUUUAAAGAAAGCGUAAUAGCUCACUGAUCGAGUGAUACUGCGCCGAAAAUGUAACGGGGCUAAGCAUAUUACCGAAGCUACGGGAUGUAUGAUUUCGUCAUACAUCGGUAGAGGAGCGUUCUAUAGUAGGAUGAAGCCAGAUCGUGAGUUCUGGUGGACGAAGCAGAAGUGAGAAUGUCGGCAUGAGUAACGAAAAAACAAGUGAGAAUCUUGUUCGCCGUAAGCCUAAGGUUUCCUGGGGAAGGCUCGUCCGCCCAGGGUUAGUCGGGCCUAAGGCGAGGCCGAAAGGCGUAGUCGAUGGACAACAGGUUAAUAUUCCUGUACUACUUAUUAGUCGUUAUUAGCGAUGGGGUGACGCAGAAGGAUAGGUUAGCCACUUAUUGGAUUGUGGUUUAAGCUUUUAGGUGUGAGAAAUUGGUAAAUCCGUUCUCUUUAACACUGAGGAGUUAUGACGAGCUGCUUGCAGUGAAGUAAUUGAUUCCGCACUGACGAGAAAAACCUCUAGUGAGAAUAAUAGGUAACCGUACUAAAACAGACACAUGUAGGCGGGUAGAGUAUACCAAGGCGCGCGGGAUAACUCUCGUUAAGGAACUCGGCAAUUUAACCUUGUAACUUCGGAAGAAGAGGUGCCUGAGUAUUGUGAAGGUAUUUACUAUUGGAGCAAGAAAAGGUUGCAGUGAAAGGGUUCAAGCGACUGUUUACCAAAAACAUAGGUCUCUGCUAAACCGUAAGGUGAUGUAUAGGGGCUGACGCCUGCCCAGUGCUGGAAGGUUAAAAGGAGGUGUCAACGCUGCUUGCAGUGUGAAGCACCGAAUNGAAGCCCCNGUNNAACNGGGCGGCNGUAACNAUAACGGUCCUAAGGUAGCGAAAUUCCUUGUCGGGUAAGUUCCGACCCGCACGAAAGGCGUAACGAAUUGAACGCUGUCUCAACGAGAGACCCGGUGAAAUUGGAGUAUCCGUGAAGAUACGGAUUAGCUAUAGCGGGACAGAAAGACCCCGUGGAGCUUUACUGCAACUUGACUUUGUGUUUUGGAAUAAUUUGUGCAGGAUAGGUGGGAGACGUUGAUCUAANNNCGUCAGGGNUUAGUUAGUCNUCCUUGAGAUACCACUCUGAUUAUUUUGAAAUUCUAAUUGAUAUCCGUUAUCCGGAAUCAAGACAUAGUUUGGUGGGCAGUUUGACUGGGGCGGUCGCCUCCUAAAAAGUAACGGAGGCGCUCAAAGGUUCCCUCAAGGCGUAUGGAAAUCGCCUGUAGAGCGUAAGGGUAUAAGGGAGCUUGACUGCGAGACCUACAAGUCGAGCAGGGACGAAAGUCGGACCUAGUGAUCCGGU